rnacentral:sRNA from 1 species
CUUCUUCUAUUUGUUGUGGGCAAAUAUAGUGAAUAUGACUAUCAAUUCCGCCCGCAGUCAGUAUUUUACCUUCUGCUGCAAUUAUUUCUGUACCCGGACCAAUAAUAAUAUCUACCCCAGGCUGAAUAUCCGGGUUUCCUGCUUUACCUAUUGCAGCAAUGCGCCCAUCACGCAGUGCAACAUCUGCUUUAACAAUACCCCAAUGAUCAACAAUCAGCGCGUUUGUGAUAACCGUAUCUGCGGCCCCUUGCGCACGAGAUAAUUGCGAUUGCCCCAUACCAUCACGAAUG